rnacentral:rRNA from 1 species
AGCCCACUAGCUAGCUCGCACCCCAAAAUGCAACACCUCACUAUAUAUAACCCCUAAUUAAACCCAAUAAACACAAGACCAAACCAUUUUCCCUCCCUAGUAUGGGCGACAGAAAAGGAAACGUCGAAGCAACAGAAACAGUACCGUAAGGGAACGCUGAAAGAGAAAUGAAACAAAUCAGUUAAGCACAAAAAAGCAGAGUUUAGACCUCGUACCUUUUGCAUCAUGAUUUAGCAAGAAAACAUCAAGCAAAGAGCACUUUAGUUUGAUUCCCCGAAACCAAGUGAGCUACUCCAAGACAGCCUCUAAGGGCGCACCCGUCUCUGUGGCAAAAGAGUGGGAAGAUCUUUGAGUAGAGGUGACAGACCUACCGAACUUGGUUAUAGCUGGUUGCCCAGGAAAUGAAUAGGAGUUCAGCCUUUUGCCCCCUUUCCACACAUGCCGAUUACACCUAAAGCAUUUAAGUAGGACAAAAGAGUUAGUCAAAGGGGGUACAGCCCCUUUGAAAAAGAUACAACUUUACCAGAAGGGUUAAGAUCACAGCACUCACUAAGGGAAUGUGUUCUAGUUGGCCUAAGAGCAGCCACCCACACAGAAAGCGUUAAAGCUCAAACACCUCCCCACCCCUAUUAUACGGACCACAUUAAUCUUACCCCCCUAAACAUACUGAGCCUUCCCAUACCCCUAUGGGAGAGAUUAUGCUAAUAUGAGUAAUAAGAGAUCUCGCAUCUCUCCCUGCACAAGUAUACAUCGGAACGAACUAACACCGAAAAUUAACGGCCCCAAAAAAGAGGGAACUGAAAUAUUAUGGCCAGGCCACUAGAAGACCAUCCACCUCACUAAACCGUUGACCUUACACCAGAGUGCAUACAAGGAAAGACUAAAAGAAAAAGAAGGAACUCGGCA